AUACUCAUAGAUGAGGAGCCAUCAGAAGAGUCCAGCUAACACAGCUUAGGCCUAUUUCAUCAUCCCACCAAACAAGAAGAUAGCCUGCUUCUCGCUUGACAGAUCAAGGAAGGAGGAGGUGGAGGAGAUGACAGAACAAGAUCUACUGAAAAGACAUCCAUGACCUGGUGGCAGGUGCCCAAGCCAUGUGCUCCCAAUACCCACAACUGGAUUCUUUUUGCUGAAGAGAGAAAAGACAUCCAUGACCUGGUGGCAGGUGCCCAAGCCAUGUGCUCCCAAUACCCACAACUAGAUUCUUUUUGCUGAAGAGACCUAUGAUGAACACAACAAAAUCAUAGGAAUCCAGGACUCCCCACUUGAAGGAUACUAAACUAGGAUGGAAAUUACCUCUACACCCCGAUUGCAUCUCCACUAUCCCCGGCCCAUUCCUCUGCUUUCCUUUUUGCAACACAGGUGAUUACCUCCAGGGGGCCUCUGUACAUGCAGGUUGUAAACACUGGGCAUGUAGAAUUGAAUCCACCAGACAUGGUGGCACCAUGCUCGACCAUCUGAAAACUCGUUUUCACCUUCCCAUCAGUGAUCCCUGGGAAAAAACGAUGGCGAGCAGGAGUUGUGGGGGAGCUCUACCCUAAUAACUAUGCUAAACACCCUGUAGUUGACCUACAUGUUUCUCUCCAGCUUG
ensembl:lincRNA